rnacentral:rRNA from 1 species
UACAGAGGUCCCAAGCGUUGUUCGGAUUUACUGGGCGUAAAGGGAGCGUAGGUGGCAUUCUAAGUCUGAUGUGAAAGCUCUGAGCUUAACUCAGAAAUGGCAUUAGAAACUAGUUUGCUUGAGGAUUGGAGGGGAGAUUGGAAUACUUGGUGUAGCAGUGAAAUGCGUAGAUAUCAAGUGGAACACCAGUGGCGAAGGCGAAUCUCUGGACAAUUCCUGACACUGAUGCUCGAAAGCUAGGGGAGCAAACGGG